CAGGAACUGCCGGAACUGCCGGAACUCUGCAUAGUUAAUAAGCUGUCAUUCCGACUUCAACUGAUACCGCCCAGCUCCGCUCAACCAGUCCUGAUCGCAGAGUUAAGGCCACCAGCUGAUGGUGGUCUUCAGGAUCACCACACACUUCGGACAGGUGCGUGAACUGGAGAUAAACUCUGCAGGAUGCUGGUCCUCCAGGACAUCACUGUUAUGCAGAUAAAGAGUCACUAGGAACAGGUCACUGCAUCUUUUGUAAUGUAGAUGCUGGGAUAAAAAGCAGCCAUGCUACAGCAUCUAAAAUGGAGACUUCUAUUAAAGUGGCUCUGUAACAUAAGAGACUUGGGACAGUGGAAGGAGCAGAAGAUCAGAGAUCAGGCAGAGCUCUACUGGUGCCCCUUAGAGGAUUGAUUUAUCUAUAAUUAUCUAUAAUAUCUACUUAAUGUUCUAAUGAAGUUAUAAUUGGUCAUUAUUCUGUUUUAUAAAUCUAUUCAAUAGAUUCUAGUGUUCAAUAGUUUGGGGUCAGAAAGUUUUUUUCUUUCUUUAAGAUAUUACUUGUAUUCAGCAAGGGUGCAUUAAACUGAUAAAAAGCAACAGUAAAAACGUUUACAUUGUUGGUCAAAAAUCCUAUAAAAAAUAAAUAAAUAAAUGCUGAUCUUUUAAAACCUCUAAAGUAACCUGAAAAAAAUAUAUUACUGUUUCCAAAAAUGAAGCAGCGCAACUGUUUUUGAGAUUCAAAAAAAAAAAAGUUUAUUGAGCACCAAAACCAGAAUAUUUUAAUAAUUUAUUUUGGAUUGUAUGACACAGAAGACGAGUAAUGGCUGGUGAAAAUUAAACAUCAUAGGUAAACAGAACUCAUUUCUCUAAAAAAAAAAAACAUUUUUUUAUGGUUAUUUAAAAUUGUAAUAUUUCAUAAUGUUACUGCUUUAACUGUAUUUCUUAUCAAAUAAAUGUUUUGGUGAGCAUAAGACACUUGUUUCAAAAACAUUUACAAAUCUUACCUAUCCUAAACUUUGAACAGUGUUUUUCUUCAUUUAUUACAUGGCCGUGAAUAAAUCAAAGUAUUUGAAAUGUAUGACUCUUUAAUUUAUUACUUCUACUAAUAAUUAUUCUGCAUGUGAUUUAAUAGUAAUAUUGCAGCAUUCUGCAGGUACAAAGUUUUAUUUGUUAAGGUCACAAAGGCCCUACACAGGUUAAUGUCCACAUUUCCCUCCAAAGUGUGGGCAUACUGUUGGGGCCCUAGGUCCACAUUUUCAGCUGGGACGCUACUUUGGAUGAAUAGAGGGCACACUUUUGGCCCACAGUAACUGUGCCCACACCCAGCCCACACUGUCCCCGCGCUCUCCCCACUGUGCCCACACCCAGCCCACACUGUCCCCACACUCUCCCCACUGUGCCGACACCCAGCCCACACUGUGUACAUACCUGUGGUCAUGUUAUGGGCACACAAUUGGUCCUAUUGGGGGCCCACUCAGAUUUGUGUGGGUCAGCCCACACUCAACCCACACUUUUGGGCUGUCCCACUCAGGCCCCACACGGGCCCCGCAGUGUGGGGCCCACACUCAACCCACACUUUUGGGCUGUCCCACUCGGGCCCAAAAGGGGGAUGUUUGCUGGGUAAGUAAGUACAUGUUUCCUUAACGCAAUAUUAUGUUUACAUUGUUUUUAGUUUAUCUUUGUUAAAUCUGUAGUCAUCUUUGUUCUUGCCUUACUAGUCAAGCUAAAGUAAGGCUAAAGUAAGUUAGCCUUGUUUACAAAGUUGCCGCCAUGUUACAAUUAACUUUCUGUAAUAGCUACUUUGUUUCUUCCAGGUGUAUAGUUUUUCUUUUUUUCUAAGAUACGUAUGUUUAUACGAGUGUGAGUACGUAUGUGUUUUAAGUUAGUUUUGGUCAGUCGAAUUAACUACGUAAACAGUUACUUGUAUGGACAAUUAUGCCGCCGCCCAUGUGGUAAUGUGGUUCCAGCAGUAGGUAGCAAAAUCUACGACAAGACUGAUCAGUAUAACUUGUGUUGUUUUCUAACUAAACCGAAUGAUGAUACCAGUAACGUUAAAUUGUUUUCAUUUGUUUGUUCCGACACGCACGCUAACGUACUAGUCUAGUUCAGAGUGUUAGCUAACACAUGCUGUUUUGCCUUUUUUACACUGUUCAAGCAUGUUGAAACGUGUCUAGCUUCAGUACGUAGCCAAAGCUUUACAUCUAGUGUUUUCUUACUGUUGUAUCCUGAAUGCUUAUAUAAGGAAGACAGACAGCGGGGUAGCGUUUAGCAAAAAGCUUUACUUCAUGCUUGCAUGAACAAACACAGAGCAUAACAGGAUGGCCAACUCUUCUUCAGCUAUCUCUACACAUCCCAUUUUAACUACUGCACUGCUGUUGCCACCUAGGGGAAAAUUCUAAUAUAACAAUAAAACUUUCCCCAUAUACCACA